AGUCCGCGGGGAGGAGUUCCUGAACAUGGAAACGCUGAACAAUUAACGGCCACAGGAGUUGGCACCAAAUGAAUUAAUUGUCUUAGAUAACUGAAGCCUGUCCCAUUGGCCCCGCACAGGAAGCUGGUGGCUAUCAGAACUUCACAGUAGGUUAUUCCUGCUACCGCCCUCCUGUAUUCUCUGGAGUGUGGGGCUGGCAGCAGGAAGUUCUGUGAGAUAUGCUGAACUACAAUCUGUAUUGUAAGAAGACUUUCUGUGGAUUUAUAUGGAUUUAUAUCAAGUUUGGGAAGCCCCGGAUUCUAUCGAGAAGCCUUGUUACUAUUUUCCAAGAUUUGUUAACUAGCCUAGUCACCAGGCGUGAGGCUCUUAAGAAACAAAAGACUCUUCAUGUGUCUUCUUCAGCCCACUCUCUACUUUUAUAAAAGGACACUCACUGGCUUGAUAUAUUUGUUCCUCCAAUACUAAAAGUAUGAUGAAAAUAAUGUAAACCAACAAUCUUAUGGGAAAGA
rnacentral:lncRNA from 1 species